rnacentral:rRNA from 1 species
CUAGUAACGGCGAGUGAAGCGGGAAGAGCUCAAAUUUGAAAUCUGGCAGUCUUCGAUUGUCCGAGUUGUAAUCUAUAGAGGCGUUUUCCGUGCCGGACCGUGUCCAAGUCUCCUGGAAAGGAGUAUCAAAGAGGGUGAUAAUCCCGUACUUAACACGACCACCGGUGCUCUGUGAUACGUCUUCUACGAGUCGAGUUGUUUGGGAAUGCAGCUCAAAAUGGGUGGUGAAUUCCAUCUAAAGCUAAAUAUUGGCGAGAGACCGAUAGCGAACAAGUACCGUGAGGGAAAGAUGAAAAGCACUUUGGAAAGAGAGUUAAACAGUACGUGAAAUUGUUGAAAGGGAAACGAUUGAAGUCAGUCGUGUUCUUUGGAUUCAGCCAGUUCUGCUGGUCUACUUCCUUGGAACGGGUCAACAUCAGUUUUGUCCGGUGGAUAAAGGUAGUAGGAAUGUGACUUCUCCGGAAGUGUUAUAGCCUAUUAUCACAUACACUGGGUGAGACUGAGGACUGCAGCUCGCCUUUAUGGCCGGCCUUCGGGCACGUUCGAGCUUAGGAUG